CUGGUUGGAAAAUCUUCAAUUUGGUGUGUUUAGUUUGGGCAAUCAGCAAUAUGAACAUUUUAAUAAGGUUGCUGUGGUGGUCGAUGAACUGCUUCAUGAGCAAGGCGCCAAGCACAUUGUCCAAGUGGGGUUGGGAGAUGAUGAUCAGGGUAUUGAGGAUGACUUCUCUGCAUGGAGGGAGCUUCUUUGGCCGGAGUUGGAUAAGUUACUUCAGGAUGAAAAUGAGACAGGUGCAUCUACUCCUUAUAUAGCUGCCAUUCCUGAAUACCGGGUUGUAUUUGUCAAGCUUGAAGAAGUUCCAUAUCUCGACAA